CCAUGAUACAUUUCAUCUUGCUGUUCAGUCGACAAGGGAAAUUACGGCUGCAGAAAUGGUACACCACUCUCCCUGACAAAGAGAGGAAAAAAAUCACCCGGGAAAUUGUUCAGCUUGUUCUGUCUCGAGGUCAUCGGACAAGCAGUUUCAUUGACUGGAAGGAGCUGAAACUUGUUUAUAAAAGGUAUGCUAGCUUAUAUUUUUGCUGUGCAGUAGAGAAUCAAGAUAAUGAGCUCUUGACACUAGAGAUUGUACAUCGUUAUGUGGAGUUGCUGGACAAGUACUUUGGAAAUGUCUGCGAGCUGGAUAUCAUCUUUAAUUUUGAAAAGGCGUAUUUUAUCCUUGAUGAGUUUAUAAUAGGUGGAGAAAUUCAGGAAACAUCCAAGAAAACAGCUGUGAAAGCCAUUGAAGAAUCUGACAUGUUACAGGAGCCCCUUUAGCCCUCCAAGUACAUAAUGAGGAAAAACACUUCACUGCACUGCCCAUUGCCCACCAGUUGACAUGAUUGUGUUUGGGGCCCGGAUUCUGUUCCAGUUCUGCCACCAGUAUGUGUGUGUCCCACAUCAACAAUGGAAGAAUACAUGAACAAACCUACAUUUUAACUGUGCAUCUACUUGAAGACUCCAAAUGCUGCAAGUUGUGAAUUUUUAAAAACUCAAUGUUUUGUAUCCAGUCCAGACAGAGCUUCUGGAAUCAUGCCACAAAUAACUUAAAGGGAUUCUUGGUUAACUAGCAAAGAUUCAUGUUGUUUAGCAUAAUACUUUUGAAAUGUCUAUUUCUAUAGUAUACUGUAUAUGAGUCCUUAAUCUGCCUCUGUGUUGGAAAUCACUGCUGUAUAACUCAGCAGAUUGAAUAGUUUGUAAUGUUUUAACUCCAUGAGAUUAUUUGUAAGCUCAUCAAAAGAAAUAACUGCAAUAUAUAUUUUUGGGAUUUGAUUUUCUAAGGGAUGAAAGUUAAACUAUAUUGUAUUAUCUCAUGCUUAUGAAUAUAAAGUAAAACCUAAUGUCAUUA